GAUGAAGAACGCAGCGAAAUGCGAUAAGUAAUGUGAAUUGCAGAAUUCAGUGAAUCAUCGAAUCUUUGAACGCACAUUGCGCCCCUUGGUAUUCCGAGGGGCAUGCCUGUUCGAGCGUCAUUAUAACCCCUCAAGCUCAGCCUGGUGUUGGGGCCUGCUGCACUGGCAGCCCUUAAAAUCAGUGGCGGCGCCAUCUGGCUCUAAGCGUAGUAAUUCUUCUCGCUAUGGAGUCCUGGUGGAUGCUUGCCAUCAACCCCCAAUUUUUCUAUGGUUGACCUCGGAUCAGGUAGGGAUACCCGCUGAACUUAAGCAUAUCAAUAAGCGGAGGA
rnacentral:misc_RNA from 1 species